UACGAAGGGGGCUAGCGUUGCUCGGAAUCACUGGGCGUAAAGCGCACGUAGGCGGCUUUCUAAGUCAGACGUGAAAUCCCUCAGCUUAACUGGGGAACUGCGUCUGAUACUGGAUGGCUUGGAUUCGGGAGAGGAAUGCGGAAUUCCAGGUGUAGCGGUGAAAUGCGUAGAUAUCUGGAGGAACACCGGUGGCGAAGGCGGCAUUCUGGACCGAUAUUGACGCUGAGGAGCGAAAGCCAGGGGAGCAAACGGG
rnacentral:rRNA from 1 species